UACGUAGGGUGCGAGCGUUGUCCGGAAUUACUGGGCGUAAAGAGCUCGUAGGUGGUUUGUCGCGUUGUUCGUGAAAUCUCACGGCUUAACUGUGAGCGUGCGGGCGAUACGGGCAGACUGGAGUACUGCAGGGGAGACUGGAAUUCCUGGUGUAGCGGUGGAAUGCGCAGAUAUCAGGAGGAACACCGGUGGCGAAGGCGGGUCUCUGGGCAGUAACUGACGCUGAGGAGCGAAAGCGUGGGGAUCAAACAGG
rnacentral:rRNA from 1 species